AUCUACACUUGAUCUUUUGGCUAAGAUCAAGUGUAGUAUCUGUUCUUAUCAGUUUAAUAUCCGACAUGUUCUCUAAAUGAGAACGUUGUAUUAAACAGAUUUUUCAAACAGGUAGCUGGACGAGGGGCUUGCUUCUUCCGCUCCAUGCAUCAACCUGGUAUUGCAGUACCUCCAGGAAUAGUGCCCAUUUG